AUACAAGCGCGCAUGCGCCCUCGCGCGGAGACUCCUGGGAGCUGUCGUUCCACCGAGCGGCGGCCAUGUUGAAUGCGGCCGCGGGAGGAAAUCCCGGACAUUUUGCCUGCUGCAUUAAAAAAACCCGCCCGGCCGCAGCACAGGGGGCCAAAAAAGAGGACAUGUCUGUUAAAACCCGGAUGCAUGGUAGCCUUGAGAACAUUGGCGCAUGUGUGCAGCCGGAUUGAAUUGCCACUAAGUCAUCUCAAAUGAAAGCUUUUGCUGAAAAUACAGAGUUCUGCAUUUGCAUACUGGAAUUUCAUGAGUAUAUAGCAUAAGGACAAAGAUUUCUUUGAUGAAGACAUCAAGUUGAAUCACUUUGUGCCACUGUUAAUCACACUUGCAACGUUGUCAACACAGAUGCCAUGGGUGAUCACCUAAUUCUGCUAUAUUGUUCAGCUGCAUUGAAUCAAAUCAUUUCAUUUUCAAGUGGAAACAAAGACUGAGAAACGCAUGCAAGAGGAAAAGGAAUGGAAUCCGAACCAUUGCAUUUAGAUUGACAAGGAGAAUAAAAGGAUGAAGCACAAGUAAUUGGAUCAAAAGAAGGCCAUGAAGGACCAGAGAAAGAAGAGUAGAUGCCAUGAAAUGAAAAGAAAGUAUAAAUUGGGAACCAGAACUGGAAGAGUUAGAAUUGCCUGUAAUAUACAGAAUAAACUUUUGAUUUCCCUAGCUCUCCAGGCCCACUGACAGUUUAGAAGAUGACAUUCCAGGCAAGUACUACCUCUAGAAGUCAUUUUUUUCUAUACUGUACUUAAUUUUCUCCAACAGAAGGUGGUAGAUAAAGCGCACAACUACUCUAGUCCCAGGCUGUAAGGCUGUAUUUUUUUCUAUCUUAUAAAAAGUAAAUUUUUGAUUUGUGAAGACAUGGCCUGAAGAUGCAGUAAGGAAUACUAGGGUGCAAUAGACUUUGGAGAAUUCAUAACUCUAUUGCUUUAGUUUCUCUCAGCUGGAGCUAUUUUAAAGAACACAGUCACAAUUCUGAGUUUGUGGAACUUCAAUCUAUUCUAAUUUUAGUAUCUUCCGAAGCUGUUCUAGAGGAGCUCGAUAAUUUAUUGCUCACAGACUGACGAUUUUACUUACCUCUUUUUCAGUAAGGCACUAAAAUCCAACUCUCCACCUUCUUCAUGUCCCUCUGCACUGUACAAUAAUAGAAACAAUAACAAUUAGUGUCACAAGGAGAUAGGGAAUGGUUCAUGUGGACAGAAUUAUUUUUAAGGGAAAUAUAUUUAAUUGGAGGGGAAGGAGGAGAUGGUUUCACAAUGGCUCUAGAAUAUGUGCUGGCAUGUUAGCCAUUUUAUUAAAGAAAUCAUGUUAUUAGUGCUACUUCCUGUUUAUUGUCUUUGUAUAGAUUUAAGAAAUAUAUUUGCAGGUCUUGUAUUUCUUCUCCUCUGGUUACAUAGGAAACAAUGCACUAUGGCUAAUUCAGAAUAUAAUUAUGUUCCUAGAAUAUAAUAGAAUAUUCCU